AUGUUGUUCCUGAUUUUAAUCAUUAUUUCUCUGCUCAAAGAGAAUGCUGAUGCAAAUACAAUAAAUCCACUGGUGUCAGAGAAGCACAUCACGGCAGGAGACAGUGUUACCCUCUCCUGUGAUUACAGUGGAGGUGUUAACACACUGCUGUGGUAUCGACAAUAUCCAGGACCUCAAAUUGAGCUCCUUAUAUUUGUCACUGAGCUCAAUGGCCGGUCAGAGCCUGCUUUACGACUUUCAUCUGUGGCUGAUGAAUGUAAUAAACGCAUGAAUCUCAGCAUCUUUCAGGCAGAAAUGGAAGAUUCUGCUUUGUACUACAGUGCCCUGGUGCCCACGGUGACGGGAAACACAACACUGUAA